GCAGGGAUCAGCAUCCCGAGGAUGCCGGGUCAGCUCCGGGUGCUGAUUUGCAGCUCGGGCAGAGGCAGCUGCGCCUUUUCCGUGAGAUUCGUGUCAGCGUUUGGCAAAAAUAGCAUCAGAGCCACUCUGGCUGCCCAGCCCGGCGUCUGGAGCCCGCUCCUCCCGACAGGAGCCAGGGAAUUGCGUGGCUUGGCUGAGCCAGGGGGAAGAGCACAAUUGGAUUCCUGAGCCUUGGCUAGGAAGGAAACACGUUAUUCCCUCGGGGCAAGGACUUCAGCAGCAUCCAGGAGCCUUGGAAUCUUCUUGGAGCAGCUCAGCAGUUCAGCUAAAGCUUCCCUCCAAACAUCAAAGAGCUGGAAGAGUAAAACCCAUCAGAAUUUUCCUAAUCAAAACCACGCGUAAUUGUCAAGGCAAGGCAGAUAACAGAAGUCGGGCAAGCUCUGUGAACCCCCAGCUUCACUCAGACUUAGCAAUUAAGGAGCUGCGAGGCUGAGGAGGGGGGAAAGUCGGAGCUCUCCAGCACCAAUUAGCAGUUAAUGAACAUCAGCAAUCCCCCUGGAGAUGGGGGAAAUGAAACCAGGACCAAAAUGCCACCCGCGAUUUGAGCCGGCCUAAAACCGCGCAUCCGCUGCGGGGGAUGCUCUGUGCCCCUGGAAAAGGAGGAAGGCUCGGAAUUCCGUGCAAGGUUGGGUUGGAAGGUUCAGAAUUCCAUGGAAGUGUUGGUUUUCCCAGGUCAGGCAGCAGCACGAGGGAGGGAGGGAGCCUGGAAUAAUUUCAGCAGCGCUGCCAUUCCACGUGAAAUCAGAGGCUGAAAGGAAGUCAGUCAAUUUAAACCCGCUCCUGAAGGGGAAUAAUUAAACACUCCAAAGAUGUGGGAGAAUUUUAAGCAGUCAGCGAGGA